GACGAACGCUGGCGGCGUGCUUAACACAUGCAAGUCGAACGGAAAGGCCCUGCUUUUGUGGGGUGCUCGAGUGGCGAACGGGUGAGUAACACGUGAGUAACCUGCCCUUGACUUUGGGAUAACUUCAGGAAACUGGGGCUAAUACCGGAUAGGAGCUCCUGCUGCAUGGUGGGGGUUGGAAAGUUUCGGCGGUUGGGGAUGGACUCGCGGCUUAUCAGCUUGUUGGUGGGGUAGUGGCUUACCAAGGCUUUGACGGGUAGCCGGCCUGAGAGGGUGACCGGCCACAUUGGGACUGAGAUACGUCCCAGACUCCUACUGGAGGCAGCAGUGUAGAAUAUUUCACAAUGGGCGGAAGCCUGAUGCAGCAACGCCGCGUGCGGGAUGACGGCCUUCGGGUUGUAAACCGCUUUCGCCUGUGACGAAGCGUGAGUGACGGUAAUGGGUAAAGAAGCACCGGCUAACUACGUG
rnacentral:rRNA from 1 species